rnacentral:tRNA from 1 species
GGGGGUGUAGCUCCGUGGCAGAGCAUUGCUUUGCAUGAGCGAGGCCCUGAGUUUGAUACUCAGCACCCCCA